ACCCCACUGCUAUCGGGAUAGGACUAAGACAUGCUAGUUAGGCGCUCACCAGCCAAAGGUGGGUGCGGCGCACAGCUCAGUAACACGUGGCUAACCUGCCCUUGGGAUAGGGACAACCCCGGGAAACUGGGGCUAAUCCCCAAUAGGCGAAGAGCUCUGGAAUGAGCCUUCACCCGAAAGGAGGCUCACACUAUGCUUGUGGGCUUCGCCCAAGGAUGGGGCCGCGACCGAUCAGGUUGUUGGUGAGGUAAUGGCUCACCAAGCCUAUAACCGGUGCGGGCCGUGGGAGCGGGAGCCCGGAGAUGGGCACUGAGACAAGGGCCCAGGCCCUACGGGGCGCAGCAGUCGCGCAAACUUUGCAAUACACGAAAGUGUGACAGGGCUAUCCCGAGCGCCGUCCGCUGAGGAUGGCUUUUACCCAGUCUAGAACGCUGGGGGAAUAAGGAGAGGGCAAGUCUGGUGUCAGCCGCCGCGGUAAUACCAGCUCUCCGAGUGGUGUGGAUGUUUAUUGGGCCUAAAGCAUCCGUAGCUGGCCAAGCAAGUCCCUUGUUAAACCCACCGAAUUAAUCGUUGGAUUGCGGGGGAUACUGCUCGGCUAGGGGACGAGAGAGGCAGACGGUAUUUUCGGGGUAGGGGUGAAAUCCUAUAAUCCCGGGAAGACCACCAGUGGCGAAGGCUGUCUGCUAGAACGCGCCCGACGGUGAGGGAUGAAAGCUGGGGGAGCGAACCGGAUUAGAUACCCGGGUAGUCCCAGCUGUAAACGAUGCAGGCUAGGUGUUUGGACGGUCACGUGCCGUUCUAGUGCCGCAGGGAAGCUGUUAAGUCUGCCGCCUGGGGAGUACGAUCGCAAGAUUGAAACUUAAAGGAAU
rnacentral:rRNA from 1 species